rnacentral:rRNA from 1 species
GACGAACGCUGGCGGCGUGCCUAAUACAUGCAAGUAGAACGCACAGUUUAUACCGUAGCUUGCUACACCAUAGACUGUGAGUUGCGAACGGGUGAGUAACGCGUAGGUAACCUGCCUGGUAGCGGGGGAUAACUAUUGGAAACGAUAGCUAAUACCGCAUAAUAUUAAUUAUUGCAUGAUAAUUAAUUGAAAGGUGCAAUUGCACCACUACCAGAUGGACCUGCGUUGUAUUAGCUAGUAGGUGAGGUAACGGCUCACCUAGGCGACGAUACAUAGCCGACCUGAGAGGGUGAUCGGCCACACUGGGACUGAGACACGGCCCAGACUCCUACGGGAGGCAGCAGUAGGGAAUCUUCGGCAAUGGACGAAAGUCUGACCGAGCAACGCCGCGGGAGUGAAGAAGGGUGUCGGAUCGUAAAGCUCUGUUGUAAGAGAAGAACGGGUGUGAGAGUGGAAAGUUCACACUGUGACGGUAUCUUACCAGAAAGGGACGGCUAACUACGUG